CCUACGGGGUGCAGCAGUAGGGAAUCUUCCACAAUGGGCGAAAGCCUGAUGGAGCAACGCCGCGUGGGUGAAGAAGGUCCUCGGAUCGUAAAACCCUGUUGUUAGAGAAGAAAGGGCGUGAGAGUAACUGUUCACGUUUCGACGGGAUCUAACCAGAAAGACACGGCUAACUACGUGCCAGCAGCCGCGGUAAUACGUAGGUGGCAAGCGUUAUCCGUAUUUUUGGGGUUUAAGGGGUGCGUAGGUGGUCUGUUAAGUCAGCGCUAAAAUUGCGGGGCUCAACCCCGUCGCGCCGUUGAAACUGGCAGACUUGAGUUGGCGAGAAGUACGCGGAAUGCGCGGUGUAGCGGUGAAAUGCAUAGAUAUCGCGCAGAACUCCGAUUGCGAAGGCAGCGUACCGGCGCCAGACUGACGCUGAGGCACGAAAGCGUGGGGAUCGAACAGGAUUAGAUACCCGGGUAGUC
rnacentral:rRNA from 1 species